rnacentral:lncRNA from 1 species
CUUAUGCCUGUCAGCUAGGUUUAUUAAUUUUUAACGAAGUGUAUUACUUUUAAAAGCUAUCUAUUUACUAUUGGGGGAGGGAGAAGGACAAAGGACAUCUUGCAGAACUGACCCGGCAAGAAAAAACUUAUUAAGGAAAACCUCUUACCUCAGUAGUUCUAAACCCUGAUUCUGUGCAAUAAACACCUGGGGCACCUGAAACAGUUAGUUCCUGGCACUGCUUUAACGUACUACGCUAGCUACCAGGGAGUUUGGCCUAGUAUGGCCAGGAUGCAGAAAUCCUCAGAGAUUCUAGUGUGCAACUGAGAAAAUGGGUAGUUUUCCUCCUCCUCUUUUUCCUUCUCCUCCUUCUCCUCUUCCUCCUCUCUUCUUCUUCUUCUUUCUUUCCUUCUCUUCUUCUUCCCCCUCCUCCUUCCUCUCCACCUCCCCAUCUU